rnacentral:rRNA from 1 species
CCUACGGGUGGCAGCAGUGAGGAAUAUUGGUCAAUGGCCGGAAGGCUGAACCAGCCAUGCCGCGUGAAGGUCAGUGCCCUAUGGGCGUUAAACUUCUUUUGUGCGGGAGCAAUAAUGGUCACGUGUGGCCAGACGAGAGUAGCGUACGAAUAAGCAUCGGCUCACUCCGUGCCAGCAGCCGCGGUGAUAAGGGGGAUGCAAGCGUUUUCCGGAUUUAUUGGGUUUAAAGGGUGCGUAGGGUGGGAGGUAAGUCAGCGGUUAAAUUCCCCCGCGUCACGGGGUGAAGGGCCAUUGAUACUGCCUUGCUUGAAUGCGGAUGCCGUGGGAGGAAUGUGUGGUGUAGCGGUGAAAUGCAUAGAUAUCGAGAGGAACACUCGUGGCGAAGGCGGGUUCCUGGACCUUAACUGACGCUGAGGCACGAAGGCCAGGGGAGCGAAAGGGAUUAGAUACCCCUGUAGUC